rnacentral:rRNA from 1 species
UUCCGGUUGAUCCUGCCGGAGGCCAUUGCUAUUGGAGUCCGAUUUAGCCAUGCUAGUCGCACGGGUUCAGACCCGUGGCGAAUAGCUCCGUAACACGUGGCCAAACUACCCUAUGGAUCGGAAUAACCUCGGGAAACUGAGGCUAAUACCGAAUACCGCUCUCACGUUGGAAUUACAGAGAGCACGAAACGCUCCGGCGCCAUAGGAUGUGGCUGCGGCCGAUUAGGUAGACGGUGGGGUAACGGCCCACCGUGCCGAUAAUCGGUACGGGUUGUGAGAGCAAGAACCCGGAGACGGUAUCUGAGACAAGAUACCGGGCCCUACGGGGCGCAGCAGGCGCGAAACCUUUACACUGCACGAACGUGCGAUAAGGGGACUCCAAGUGCGAGGGCAUACAGUCCUCGCUUUUCCCUACCGUAAGGUGGUAGGUGAAUAAGAGCUGGGCAAGACCGGUGCCAGCCGCCGCGGUAAUACCGGCAGCUCGAGUGAUGGCCAAUAUUAUUGGGCCUAAAGCGUCCGUAGCUGGCCGAACAGGUCCGUCGGGAAAUCCGCUCGCUCAACGAGCGGACGUCCGGCGGAAACCAGUCGGCUUGGGACCGGAAGACCCGAGGGGUACGUCCGGGGUAGGAGUGAAAUCCUGUAAUCCUGGACGGACCACCGGUGGCGAAAGCGCCUCGGGAGGACGGAUCCGACAGUGAGGGACGAAAGCCAGGGUCUCGAACCGGAUUAGAUACCCGGGUAGUCCUGGCCGUAAACGAUGCUCGCUAGGUGUGGCGCAGGCUACGAGCCUGCGCUGUGCCGUAGGGAAGCCGAGAAGCGAGCCGCCUGGGAAGUACGUCCGCAAGGAUGAAACUUAAAGGAAUUGGCGGGGGAGCACUACAACCGGAGGAGCCUGCGGUUUAAUUGGAUUCAACGCCGGG